rnacentral:RNase_P_RNA from 1 species
AACGCAAAACAGACUAUCGCUGGAUGCCUUAAUGCAUAAAGAGGAAAGUCCGGACAACACAAAACAGCAUACUUCCUAACGGGGAGGAGUUCCUUGCAAAAGGGGUUACAGACAGUGCCACAGAAAAUAAACUACCUUUUACAAAAAAGGAAAAGGUGAAAAGGCGGGGUAAGAGCCCACCGCACUGCUGGUAACAGUAGUGGCAGGGUAAACCUUAUGCGUUGCAAGGCCAAAUAGGCAAAGGAGCUGUACUUUACAGCUGGUGGUAGUUUUACACAUUUUACCAGUAUAGGGUAAUUACUUUGCGGGUAGGCUGCUACACUUUUACAGCAAUGUAAGAGGCAGAUAAAUGAUAGUCAUUGUUACCUGUAAAUGUAACAGUACAGAAUCCGGCUUAUCGUUUUGUAUCAAAA